UCCCUGGUGGUUCAGAGGUUAAAGCGCCUGCCUCCAGUGCGGGAGACCCGGGUUUGAUCCCUGGGUGGGGAA
rnacentral:tRNA from 1 species